CAGGCAGUCGCUCCUUGUAAAACAUUAGAAAAAAGAUUUAUCCAGUUAGACUGCAAGCCGACCCCAACAUAGUUGGAGAAUGGCUAGGCAAAUGAGGUAGAAAACCUUAUGAUAUUUUGUGAUUUUGUAAGAGAUAAAAGUUAAGGGUAAUUGGUGUCAGUUGGUCUAUGAUUGUUUUAUUUUAAUUUGAAUGUAAAGCUAACAUUCAAGGUUAAUGUUAGAAGACUGGUUAUUAUAGGUUUAAGUUUUCUAUUACUGCAUUCUCAUGCUGUGUAGGUAAUAAGUAAGCUUCGAUUACGUAUGUCUUAGUUAUUUUUAUUAAGUUUUCAAUUGAUCUCUGUUUCUGCAAAUAAGAUUUUUGCAAACUAUAACUGUAUUGUAAAAUGUUGAAAUUGCUAAUGCCGAAAUAAAGAGACUGAUUUGUAA